CUUUUCCAUGAAGUCAGCAUUAUGGUUUUAAACCCUAAACUGAUUUUUUCCUUUAGUCAGCAUUAGGGUUUUAAACCCUAAACUAAACUUUUUUCCAUUCAGCCAGCAUUAGGGUUUUAAACCCUAAACUGAGCUUUUUCAUGCAAUCAGCAUUAGGGUUUUAAACCCUAAACUGAACUUUUUUCCAUUCAGCCAACAUUAGGGUUUUAAACCCUAAACUGAGCUUUUCCAUUCAGCCAGCAUUAGGGUUUAAAACUCUAAACUGAGCUUUUCCAUGCAGUCAGCAUUAGGGUUUUAAACCCUGAACUGAAUUUUUCCUUUAAUCAGCAUUAGGGUUUUAAACCCUAAACUGAACUUUUUCCAUUCAGUCAGCAUUAGGGUUUUAAACCCUAAACUGAUUUUUUCCUUUAGUCAGCAUUAGGGUUUUAAACCCUAAACUGAACUUUUUUCCAUUCAGCCAGCAUUAGGGGUUUUAAACCCUAAACUGAGCUUUUCCAGGUAGUCAGCAUUAGGGUUUUAAACCCUAAACUGAGCUUUUCCAGGUAGUCAGCAUUAGGGUUUUAAACCCUAAACUGAAUUUUUCCUUUAGUCAGCAUUAGGGUUUUAAACCUUAAACUGAACUUUUUUCCAUUCAGCCAGCAUUAGGGUUUUAAACCCUAAACUGAACUUUUUUCCAUGCAGCCAGCAUUAGGGUUUUAAACCCUAAACUGAGCUUUUUCAUGCAAUCAGCAUUAGGGUUUUAAACCCUAAACUGAACGUUUUUCCAUUCAGCCAGAUUUAGGGUUUUAAACCCUAAACUGAGCUUUUCCAUACAGUCAGCAUUAGGGUUUUAAACCCUAAACUGAAUUUUUCCUUUAGUCAGCAUUAGGGUUUUAAACCCUAAACUGAACUUUUUUCCAUUCAGCCAGCAUUAGGGUUUUAAACCCUAAACUGAGCUGUUUCAUGCAAUCAGCAUUAGGGUUUUAAACCCUAAACUGAACUUUUUCCAUUCAGCCAGCAUUAGGGUUUUAAACCCUAAACUGAGCUUCUCCUUUAGUCAGCAUUAGGGUUUUAAACCCUAAACUGAGCUUUUUCAUGCAAUCAACAUUAGGGUUUUAAACCCUAAACUGAACUUUUUCCAUUCAGCCAGCAUUAGGGUUUUAAACCCUAAACUAAGCAUUUCCAUUCAGCCAGCAUUAGGGUUUUAAACCCUAAACUAA
rnacentral:lncRNA from 1 species